rnacentral:rRNA from 1 species
GAUGAACGCUGGCGGCGUGCCUAAUACAUGCAAGUCGAGCGAACGGACGAGAAGCUUGCUUCUUUGACGUUAGAGGCGGAGGUGCGAGUAACACGGGGACAACCUACUUAUAUGACUGGGAUAACUGCGGGACACCGGAGCUAAUACCGGAUAAUAUCUUGAAACUCAUUGUUCAAAAGUGAAUAACGGUCUUGUGGACAUUCAUCGAUGGAUGCGGGUUGCAUUAGGUAGUUGGUAGGGUAAGAGCUUACCAAGGCAACGAUGCAUAGCGGACUGGGGGGGGUGACCGGCCACAUUGGAACUGAAACAGGCUCCAGACUCCUCCGGGAGGCAGAGGUGGGGAAUCUUCGGCAAUGGGCGAAAGCCUGACGGAGCAACGCCGCGUGGUUGAGGAAGGUCUUGGGAUCGAAAGACUCUUUUAUUAGGGAAGAACAUAUGUGUAAGUGACUGUGCACAUUUUGACGGUACCUAAUCAGAAAGCCACGGCUAACUACGUG